UCCUAUCAGGAAAAAAUAACAACCCCAAACCAGAGGGUCAAUGGACUUCCUGUUACAGGCUGAAGUGUGUUCCCCGCAACUAUUUACACGUGGACAUCCCAGUCCCAAGUGCUGCUGAAAGGGAUGGUAUUUGGAGAUAAGACUUUAAAUGGUUGAUCAAGAUGAGGCCCUUGGGGCGGGUUGAGGCCAGUUUCCUAAUGAGAAGAGGGAAUUUGGACACACAGAGACACUGAGACACUAUGCAGACGGCAGAGGGAGGGCAGUGAGGACGCUGUCACGUACGCACCAAGGAGAGCGGCCUCGAAUCGACCCUUCCCUUACAGGCCUCAGAGGAAACCAAACCUGCAAACACGUUCACCCUGGACUUCCAGUCUUCAGAAAGGCCAGUUUCAAAUGAAUCACAGCAGCGAGAUUGUGCACGCUGGCUCCUAAUUAAGACUGGGCAGUACCGAUGCAGAGAAUUCAAAGAAAAGCCAAUGUCUUAAAGAACAACGCUGAUGCUUCCGCAAAUGACAGCUUCUCCUCAAGGGAGGACAACUGUGACUUAACCUGAUGCAGUGGGGACCGUCGCUCCGCGUCCGAACCGAACGGGAGGAUGAAGUUAGCGCUCAUGUUUCGCAGGGCUCGCUCGGCUCCCGGGAGAAGACGACGCUGUGACGUCGGCGCCGCGGUGACAUCAGAUGAACGUGAACCCAGACCACUCUGGAUGGUGGAAUCUAACUUCAGUGCCGUAACUCUGACAUUGUGAGGAAAACCAUCAAAUCGACAGAGAAGAACGAAGAGAUUUUUGAGACCUUUUUACUAAGACCAACACACCUAGAUCUCCUGGGGAAGGGGGGGGUUAAAUUAUGUGUGAAAUUUGGAAGUAGAUUAUAUAUUAUGAAAAUAUAUGUGAAACUUGGAAAUACAAAGUA